UACUCCUACGGGAGGCAGCAGUGGGGAAUCUUGCGCAAUGGGCGAAAGCCUGACGCAGCCAUGCCGCGUGAAUGAUGAAGGUCUUAGGAUUGUAAAAUUCUUUCAGUAGGGACGAUAAUGACGGUACCUACAGAAGAAGCCCCGGCUAACUUCGUGCCAGCAGCCGCGGUAAUACGAAGGGGGCUAGCGUUGCUCGGAAUUACUGGGCGUAAAGGGAGCGUAGGCGGACAUUUAAGUCAGGGGUGAAAUCCCGGGGCUCAACCUCGGAAUUGCCUUUGAUACUGGGUGUCUUGAGUGUGAGAGAGGUAUGUGGAACUCCGAGUGUAGAGGUGAAAUUCGUAGAUAUUCGGAAGAACACCAGUGGCGAAGGCGACAUACUGGCUCAUUACUGACGCUGAGGCUCGAAAGCGUGGGGAGCAAACAGGAUUAGAUACCCUGGUAGUCCACGCCGUAAACGAUGAUUGCUAGUUGUCGGGAUGCAUGCAUUUCGGUGACGCAGCUAACGCAUUAAGCAAUCCGCCUGGGGAGUACGGUCGCAAGAUUAAAACUCAAAGGAAUUGANNGGGGCCCGCACAAGCGGUGGAGCAUGUGGUUUUAAUUCGAANCAACGCGCANAACCUUACCACCUUUUGACAUGCCUGGACCGNCNNAGAGAUCUGGNUUUCCCUUCGGGGACUANGANNNNANGUGCUGCAUGGCUGNCGUCAGCUCGUGUCNUGAGAUGNUNGGGUUAANGUNCCCGCAACNAGNG
rnacentral:rRNA from 1 species